GCAGCAGGCGCGCAAAUUACCCCACUCCCGGCACGGGGAGGUAGUGACGAAAAAUAACGAUACGGGACUCAUCCGAGGCCCCGUAAUCGGAAUGAGUACACUCUAAACCCUUUAACGAGUAUCCAUUGGAGGGCAAGUCUGGUGCCAGCAGCCGCGGUAAUUCCAGCUCCAAUAGCGUAUAUUAAAGUUGUUGCGGUUAAAAAGCUCGUAGUUGGACUUGUGUCCCACGCUGUCGGUUCACCGUUCGUCGGUGUUUAACUGGCAUGCCCGUGCGGACGUCCUGCCGGUGGAUGCGGUCGGCCGUGGGCCUCUGGUCUGCGUGUCGGCGGUCCGAUGCAAUCCUACCGCGGUGCUCUUCACCGAGUGUCGAGGUGGGCCGGCACGUUUACUUUGAACAAAUUAGAGUGCUCAAAGCAGGCAGUGGUUCGCCUGAAUAUUGUGUGCAUGGAAUAAUGGAAUAGGACCUCGGUUCUAUUUUGUUGGUUUUCGGAACCUGAGGUAAUGAUUAAUAGGGACAGACGGGGGCAUUCGUAUUGCGACGUUAGAGGUGAAAUUCUUGGAUCGUCGCAAGACGAACCUAAGCGAAAGCAUUUGCCAUGAGUGUUUUCAUUAAUCAAGAACGAAAGUUAGAGGUUCGAAGGCGAUCAGAUACCGCCCUAGUUCUAACCAUAAACGAUGCCAGCUAGCGAUCCGCCGAAGUUCCUCCGAUGACUCGGCGGGCAGCUUCCGGGAAACCAAAGCUUUUGGGUUCCGGGGGAAGUAUGGUUGCAAAGCUGAAACUUAAAGGAAUUGACGGAAGGGCACCACCAGGAGUGGAGCCUGCGGCUUAAUUUGACUCAACACGGGAAACCUCACCAGGCCCGGACACCGGAAGGAUUGACAGAUUGAUAGCUCUUUCUUGAUUCGGUGGGUGGUGGUGCAUGG
rnacentral:rRNA from 1 species